rnacentral:rRNA from 1 species
UUUUAUUUGAGAGUUUGAUCCUGGCUCAGGAUGAACGCUGGCGGCGUGCCUAACACAUGCAAGUUGAGCGAUUUACUUCGGUAAAGAGCGGCGGACGGGUGAGUAACGCGUGGGUAACCUACCCUGUACACACGGAUAACAUACCGAAAGGUAUGCUAAUACGGGAUAAUAUAUUUGAGAGGCAUCUCUUGAAUAUCAAAGGUGAGCCAGUACAGGAUGGACCCGCGUCUGAUUAGCUAGUUGGUAAGGUAACGGCUUACCAAGGCGACGAUCAGUAGCCGACCUGAGAGGGGGAUCGGCCACAUUGGAACUGCGACACGGUCCAAACUCCUACGGGAGGCAGCAGUGGGGAAUAUUGCACAAUGGGCGAAAGCCUGAUGCAGCAACGCCGCGUGAGUGAUGAAGGCCUUCGGGUCGUAAAACUCUGUCCUCAAGGA